rnacentral:lncRNA from 7 species
UAAUGCUGCCGCCGACGACGACCCAACAGGCCAACACUAAUAACGGACCUGGAAUAUAAUGUCAACUGCCAGGUAAAUAUUUCAGGCAGGUGAUUAGGAGCAGCUGGUGUGCGUAGACGACAGUACUAGAGCUAGCUAGCUAGCGGCGAUUGUUUGGAUUAAUGGCAAUGGAGCAGGAGGAGGGGGUGUCUGUUGAAGACGUGGAAGAUCCAGAAAUAGAAGCUCUUCCUACUGUGGAGGAGGAGAAGCGCUUGCGCGGGGGCGGUGUUGAACUUGAAGAAGAAGCUGCCGGAGUCCAAGAACAUUAUCAGGUUCACCGCCUAGCUAGCUAGAUUAAGCUACCAGCCAGCCAGAUUAAGGGCUGUUGAGGG